rnacentral:tRNA from 5 species
GGGAAGUUGUCCGAGUCUGGCCGAAGGAGCACGCCUGGAAAGUGUGUAAACGCCACAAGCGUUUCAAGGGUUCGAAUCCCUUACUUCCCG